AACGCUGGCGGCGUGCCUUACACAUGCAAGUCGGAGGUGUCGCAAGACACAUGGCAGACGGGUGAGUAACACGUGGGAAACUUACCUCCUAGUGGGGAAUAACGCUCCGAAAGGAGCGGUAAUACCGCAUAAGACCUAUCGCUGGGAUGCGAUAGAUGAAAGCUGGGGAUCGUAAGACCUAGCGCUGAGAGAGAGUCCUGCGUCUGAUUAGUUAGUUGGUGAGGUAACGGCUCACCAAGACUUCGAUCAGUAGCCGGCCUGAGAGGGCGAUCGGCCACACUGGAACUGAGACACGGUCCAGACUCCUACGGGAGGCAGCAGUGGGGAAUCUUGCGCAAUGGGCGAAAGCCUGACGCAGCAACGCCGCGUGGGUGAUGAAGGUCUUCGGAUUGUAAAACCCUGUCGUUAGGGACGAAGACAUAAAUCCUAAUACGAUUUAUGUUUGACGGUACCUAGAAAGGAAGCCCCGGCUAACUCUGUGCCAGCAGCCGCGGUAAUACAGAGGGGGCAAGCGUUAUUCGGAAUUAUUGGGCGUAAAGGGUGCGUAGGCGGUUUUUUAAGUCAGAUGUGUAAUCCCCGAGCUCAACUUGGGAACUGCAUCUGAAACUGGAAAACUAGAGUGCUGGAGAGGAUGGUGGAAUUCCACGUGUAGCGGUGAAAUGCGUAGAGAUGUGGAGGAACACCAGUGGCGAAGGCGGCCAUCUGGACAGUAACUGACGCUGAAGCACGAAAGUGUGGGUAGCAAACAGGAUUAGAUACCCUGGUAGUCCACACCGUAAACGAUGAACACUUGGUGUAGUGGGCGUUGACCCCCACUGUGCCGUAGCUAACGCGAUAAGUGUUCCGCCUGGGGAGUACGGUCGCAAGGCUGAAACUCAAAGGAAUUGACGGGGGCCCGCACAAGCGGUGGAGCAUGUGGUUCAAUUCGACGCAACGCGAAGAACCUUACCUGGGCUUGAACUGUAAUGGACCGUGGCAGAGAUGU
rnacentral:rRNA from 1 species